GUGGAACUAAGCAUAUCAAUAAGCGGAGGAAAAGAAACUAACAAGGAUUCCCCUAGUAACUGCGAGUGAAGCGGGAAAAGCUCAAAUUUAAAAUCUGGUGGUCUUUGGCCAUCCGAGUUGUAAUUUAGAGAAGCGUCUUCCGCGCUGGACCGUGCACAAGUCUCCUGGAAUGGAGCGUCGUAGAGGGUGAGAAUCCCGUCUUUGGCACGGACGCACCAGGGCUUCUGUGAUGCGCUCUCGAAGAGUCGAGUUGUUUGGGAAUGCAGCUCAAAAUGGGUGGUGAACUCCAUCUAAAGCUAAAUAUUGGCGAGAGACCGAUAGCGAACAAGUACCGUGAGGGAAAGAUGAAAAGCACUUUGGAAAGAGAGUGAAACAGUACGUGAAAUUGUUGAAAGGGAAACGCUUGAAGUCAGUCGCGUCGCCCGAGACUCAGCCUCGCCUCGGCUUGGUGUACUUCUCGGCCGACGGGUCAGCAUCAAUUUCGCCCCUUGGAUAAUGGCGAGGGAAAUGUGGCACCUUCACGGGUGUGUUAUAGUCUCUCGUCGCAUGCAAGGGUCGGGAUUGAGGAACUCAGCACGCGCCUUUCGGCGUCGGGGUUCGCCCACGAUACGUGCUUAGGAUGUUGGCGUAAUGGCUUUAAACGACCCGUCUUGAAACACGGACCAAGGAGUCUAACAUGCCCGCGAGUGUUCGGGUGGAAAACCCGUGCGCGCAAUGAAAGUGAAAGUUGGGACCUCUGUCGUGGAGGGCACCAACGCCCGGACCAGACCUUCUGUGACGGAUCUGCGGUAGAGCGUGUAUGUUAGGACCCGAAAGAUGGUGAACUAUGCCUGAAUAGGGUGAAGCCAGAGGAAACUCUGGUGGAGGCUCGUAGCGAUUCUGACGUGCAAAUCGAUCGUCAAAUUUGGGUAUAGGGGCGAAAGACUAAUCGAACCAUCUAGUAGCUGGUUCCUGCCGAAGUCCCCCCCUC
rnacentral:rRNA from 1 species